rnacentral:rRNA from 1 species
CAGCCGCCACGGUAAUACGUAGGGUGCGAGCGUUAAUCGGAAUUACUGGGCGUAAAGCGUGCGCAGGCGGUUCGUUAAGACAGAUGUGAAAUCCCCGGGCUUAACCUGGGAACUGCAUUUGUGACUGGCGAGCUAGAGUAUGGCAGAGGGGGGUAGAAUUCCACGUGUAGCAGUGAAAUGCGUAGAGAUGUGGAGGAAUACCGAUGGCGAAGGCAGCCCCCUGGGCCAAUACUGACGCUUAUGCACGAAAGCGUGGGGAGCAAACAGGAUUAGAUACCCCUGUAGUCCCUGUCUCUUAUAA